UGCCAACUUAGUACCUGAAUGAAGCAUCCGAAUUUCCAAAAGCAAGGAAGAAAAUAGAUUCAGCUUCUUUGUAAUUGUCAUUUUGAUAUACAGAUUCUACAGAAAACAUUACAUCCUUCGAAGGUAAUGCUAGACUUUUUCCUUUUUCCCUUUUCCAUAAUUCAGGGAAGAAUUGAGAAUUGAUUAGGAAACCCAAUGUGGGUUGAACCCAUAGAACUGCAACAAGCUAAAACCAAACAGGAAGUCUUCCUUUUGUACUUGAUUAUGGCUAGAUGGAUUAUAAGAAUAUAUGGACAUGUUGGUUUUUGAAUUGAAGCUGCAGCUCCGUGGAUAAAAAGAA
rnacentral:misc_RNA from 1 species